rnacentral:tRNA from 1 species
GGUGGAGUAGCUCAAUGUAGACCAUGUGUUUAGUAUGCACAAGGCCUUGGGUUCAAACCCCAGCACCA